GAUGAACGCUAGCGGCAGGCUUAACACAUGCAAGUCGAGGGGUAGAGGAAGCUUGCUUCCUUGAGACCGGCGCACGGUGCGUAACGCGUAUGCAAUCUACCUUAUACAGGGGGAUAGCCCAGAGAAAUUUGGAUUAAUACCCCAUAGUAUAAUUGAAUGGCAUCAUUUAAUUAUUAAAGUUCCAACGGUAUAAGAUGAGCAUGCGUCCAUUAGCUAGUUGGUGUGGUAACGGCACACCAAGGCGACGAUGGGUAGGGUCCUGAGAGGGAGAUCCCCCACACUGGUACUGAGACACGGACCAGACUCCUACGGGAGACAGCAGUGAGGAAUAUUGGUCAAUGGGCGCAAGCCUGAACCAGCCAUGCCGCGUGCAGGAUGACGGUCCUAUGGAUUGUAAACUGCUUUUGUACAGGAAGAAACACUCCCUCGUGAGGGAGCUUGACGGUACUGUAAGAAUAAGGAUCGGCUAACUCCGUGCCAGCAGCCGCGGUAAU
rnacentral:rRNA from 1 species